rnacentral:rRNA from 1 species
GACGAACGCUGGCGGCGUGCCUAAUACGUGCAAGUCGAGCGCAGGAAAUCAUCCGAACCCUUCGGGGGGACGUUGAUGGAAUGAGCGGCGGACGGGUGAGUAACACGUAAAGAACCUGCCCUCAGGUCUGGGAUAACCACGAGAAAUCGGGGCUAACACCGGAUGGGUCAUCGGACCGCAUGGUCCGAGGAUGAAAGGCGCUUCGGCGUCGCCUGGGGAUGGCUUUGCGGUGCAUUAGCUAGUUGGUGGGGUAAUGGCCCACCAAGGCGACGAUGCAUAGCCGACCUGAGAGGGUGAUCGGCCACACUGGGACUGAGACACGGCCCAGACUCCUACGGGAGGCAGCAGUAGGGAAUCUUCCACAAUGGACGAAAGUCUGAUGGAGCAACGCCGCGUGAACGAUGAAGGCCUUCGGGUCGUAAAGUUCUGUUGUAAGGGAAGAACAAGUGCCGCAGGCAAUGGCGGCACCUUGACGGUACCUUGCGAGAAAGCCACGGCUAACUACGUGCCAGCCGCCGCCGUAA